AGGAUAAUAGUUACUCAUAACAUUUAAUUUGCAAUUAAAAAGUACUAAUAAAUAGUUUAUCUAA
rnacentral:tRNA from 1 species